AGUGAACGCUGGCGGUAGGCCUAACACAUGCAAGUCGAACGGCAGCACAGUAAGAGCUUGCUCUUACGGGUGGCGAGUGGCGGACGGGUGAGGAAUACAUCGGAAUCUACUUUUUCGUGGGGGAUAACGUAGGGAAACUUACGCUAAUACAGCAUACGACCUACGGGUGAAAGCAGGGGAUCUUCGGACCUUGCGCGAUUGAAUGAGCCGAUGUCGGAUUAGCUAGUUGGCGGGGUAAAGGCCCACCAAGGCGACGAUCCGUAGCUGGUCUGAGAGGAUGAUCAGCCACACUGGAACUGAGACACGGUCCAGACUCCUACGGGAGGCAGCAGUGGGGAAUAUUGGACAAUGGGCGCAAGCCUGAUCCAGCCAUACCGCGUGGGUGAAGAAGGCCUUCGGGUUUUAAAGCCCUUUUGUUGGGAAAGAAAAGCAGCAGGUUAAUACCCCGCUGUUCUGACGGUACCCAAAGAAUAAGCACCGGCUAACUUCGUG
rnacentral:rRNA from 1 species